UACGGGGGGUGCAAGCGUUGUUCGGAAUCAUUGGGCGUAAAGAGCGUGUAGGCGGUUGGACAAGUCAGAUGUGAAAGCCCUGGGCUCAACCCAGGAAGUGCAUUUGAAACUGUUCAGCGAGAGUAAGGGAGAGGAAAGUGGAAGUCCUGGUGGAGAGGUGACAUUCGUAGAUCGCAGGAGGAACACCGGGGGCGAAGGCGACGUUCUGGCCCUAUACUGACGCUGAGACGCUAGAGCGUGGUUAGCAAACAGGAUUAGAUACCCCUGUAGUCC
rnacentral:rRNA from 1 species